rnacentral:lncRNA from 1 species
AGAAAAUAUUGAAGUAAAGAGUUAGACUAAGUAACAAAUGAAAUUGGAGGAAAAUCUCAUUUUUAUGUGCAGCAAAUAUAGAACUAGGUUGGUAUACAUGUGUUUAUCAAGUAUAUAGAAAUGUAGAAAAUGAAAAAAGAAUUUAAAGCAACGUGGGUGAGAUCUUAAGUAAGAAUGACAACACGUCAUGCUCGUGAUGGCUUUUCCAAAACUUGAACUUGAUCUAAACAUGAAUAAAGAAAAACUAAGCUCUCUAUUGAUCCAAACAUGUCAGCUUCAAGAUCAUAU